UGUGUUUAUCUUACAUGACAGGUUGAGAGUGCAAAGUCGUUACUUGAUAAAUUUUCAGUACUUACUCAGCUGCCUCCCGAGUUGGUUCUGCAAAAAAAUAAUUGGGAUUUCCAAUACGCCCUAUAUGACUUCGAAGCAAGAGGUAAACAAAUACCUCGACAGGGGGGUCCCAUAAAUUUUGGACCACAGUCCCAAUACACACAACUCAAUGAAGGGCUUGGGAAACAAACUGAUUAUGUUGUACAAGAGAGCUACAUACCCACCCCACAAGUAAUCGAGGAGAGCUCCAUU
rnacentral:lncRNA from 1 species